UACGUAGGGUGCAAGCGUUGUCCGGAAUCAUUGGGCGUAAAGCGCGCGUAGGUGGUCAUGUAAGUCCGCUGUGAAAGUCAAAGGCUCAACCUUUGAAUGCCGCUGGAAACUGUCUGGCUAGAGUCCGGGAGGGGCGAGUGGAAUUCCUGGUGUAGCGGUGAAAUGCGCAGAUAUCAGGAGGAACACCGGUGGCGAAGGCGGUUCUCUGGGCCUGUACUGACGCUGAGGAGCGAAAGCGUGGGGAGCGAACAGG
rnacentral:rRNA from 1 species